UACGGAGGAUGCGAGCGUUAUCCGGAUUUAUUGGGUUUAAAGGGUGCGUAGGCGGUCGGAUAAGUUAGAGGUGAAAUCCCAUGGCUUAACCAUGGAACUGCUUUGGAAACUGUGCAGCUGGAGUGCAGGAGAGGUAAGCGGAAUUCCUAGUGUAGCGGUGAAAUGCGUAGAUAUUAGGAGGAACACCAGUGGCGAAGGCGGCUUACUGGACUGUAACUGACGUUGAGGCUCGAAAGCGUGGGGAGCAAAAAGG
rnacentral:rRNA from 1 species